rnacentral:rRNA from 1 species
GGGAUUAGAUACCCCACUAUGCUUAGCCCUAAACAUAGAUAGAACACCACCUUUCUAUCCGCCCGGGUACUACGAGCAUUAGCUUGAAACCCAAAGGACUUGGCGGUGCUUUAGACCCAUCUAGAGGAGCCUGUUCUAGAACCGAUAAUCCCCGUUGAACCUCACCCUUCCUCGUUUUUCCCGCCUAUAUACCGCCGUCGUAAGCUUACCCCGUGAGGGGCCAGAAGUGAGCUUAAUUGGCACAGCCCAAGACGUCAGGUCGAGGUGUAGCUUAUGGAAGGGCAAGAAAUGGGCUACAUUCCCUAUUAUAGGGAACACGGACAACGUACUGAAAUACGCGUUUGAAGGUGGAUUUAGUAGUAAGCAGCAAACAGAGUGUCCUGCUGAAACUGGCUCUGAAGCGCGCACACACCGCCCGUC